rnacentral:rRNA from 1 species
UGUGGCAAGCGGGAAUUCGAUUAGAGUUUGAUCCUGGCUCAGGACGAACGCUGGCGGCGUGCUUAACACAUGCAAGUCGAACGAAGAGCGAUGGAAGCUUGCUUCUAUCAAUCUUAGUGGCGAACGGGUGAGUAACGCGUAAUCAACCUGCCCUUCAGAGGGGGACAACAGUUGGAAACGACUGCUAAUACCGCAUACGAUUCAAUCUCGGCAUCGAGACUGGAUGAAAGGUGGCCUCUAUUUAUAAGCUAUCACUGAAGGAGGGGAUUGCGUCUGAUUAGCUAGUUGGAGGGGUAACGGCCCACCAAGGCGAUGAUCAGUAGCCGGUCUGAGAGGAUGAACGGCCACAUUGGGAUGAGACACGCCAAACUCCGACGGGAGGCAGC